AAGUCGUAACAAGGUUUCCGUAGGUGAACCUGCGGAAGGAUCAUUUCCGAACAAAACAUCAUAUCAACCAACCAUGUGAAAUGUUUUGGGUGUCCUUUACUGGAGGAGUGCGUGUGGAUUUGUUAUGUGCGUGCCAUCACAUUACGCACACAGCUUCGUGCUGUGUUGUGUGUGUGUGUGCGUGUGUCACUUUUCCUAAUUUUUUUACUCCUCCAGGCCUUGAUGAACUACCUUGUAACAAAGGUUGAUUUUGUAUCGUCUUUUCGAUUUUGAAAAGUAAAUGAUAUGACAACUUUUAACGGUGGAUCUCUUGGCUCGU
rnacentral:misc_RNA from 1 species